ACCAGACUCCUACGGGAGGCAGCAGUGGGGGAUAUUGCACAAUGGGGGGAACCCUGAUGCAGCGACGCCGCGUGGGUGAAGAAGCGCCUCGGCGCGUAAAGCCCUGUCAGCAGGGAAGAAAAUGACGGUACCUGAAGAAGAAGCCCCGGCUAACUACGUGCCAGCAGCCGCGGUAAUACGUAGGGGGCAAGCGUUAUCCGGAUUUACUGGGUGUAAAGGGGGCGCAGACGGCGAUGCAAGCCAGGAGUGAAAGCCCGGGGCCCAACCCCGGGACUGCUCUUGGAACUGCGUGGCUGGAGUGCAGGAGGGGCAGGCGGAAUUCCUGGUGUAGCGGUGAAAUGCGUAGAUAUCAGGAGGAACACCGGUGGCGAAGGCGGCCUGCUGGACGGCGACUGACGUUGAGGCCCGAAAGCGUGGGGAGCAAACAGGAUUAGAUACCCUGGUACUU
rnacentral:rRNA from 1 species